CAGAUAGCAAUACAUGAGACGAGUGCAAUAACAAAAAUAAUGAGCGUUUGCAGGCUUAGCAGACAAAAAAAAGAUAUAUUCAGCAUCAUACAGUCCUGCUUAUCUCAAGCUGCUGUUGUUAAGAAGAGAGAGAAAAGCGGCCCUGAGAUAAACAAGAAUCACUCGUGAGAUUUGAAGUUUGAUGAUGUCCUGCAUACGAGAGAUCUAUUUCCGGUCAAACCAACAUAAGAACACCAAUAUAUCUUACAUUUUUCAAGCUUGAUUCAUCUUAUCAUCGUUUUAAGGCAAAACAUAUUACUCAGCAGAGAGGACAGAUAUGUAAUGACUGCCAAUAACUUACAUGAUUCUUAGUUCACCAAACAAACGCAAAAAGAUUAAAGAAAAGAGUCAAGAAAGUACCACAGAAAUGGAUACUGAAACAAUGAACCGAGGACAUCAUCAUCAUAGUACAGGUUUCAUGUUCAUAUUUGGAACCAAACACAAAUAGAC
rnacentral:lncRNA from 1 species